rnacentral:misc_RNA from 1 species
AUAUUUUGAAUUAAGUAUAUUCAUAAUAUGUUAUCAGACGAAUGUUGUUAAAGAUAUAGGUUGAUAUUUGUGAAGGGAAAGAGUUGCCUCUCUCCCAACAAACAUUGCACACAAGGUGGAUAUGGAUUUUUAAAAAGUGCCAUAAAACACUUUAUUAUGAAUGAUCCUUCCGCAGGUUCACCUACGGAAA